UCCAAUGUUUGACAAAAACACAAAGUGUCACUCUAAUGUUCUGAAUUGUACUCCAUGACAGCUUUUUUAGCAGUCUGCACCAAUACCUCACUAGGCUGCAUGUCACAGCAAGUGUCUGUGUUGAUCUUGCCGGAGUGCCCAUUCAGAAUCUUUUCAGUCGCUAGUGAAAGUCGCUCAGGUGGAAAUACGCGUUUCAGACAAAAUGUUACUUCCGGGUUGGCGGGAUUCUCGCAAUGCAGUGUGCGCAUGAUCAAAAGUGGAACGAAGUCUCGCUACCACAAGAUAACGCGCGAUUUCAUAAGACUCUUUACUGGCUGUUUGUGCUGUCUGUGGUGUACAGUACGUUUGUAAAUGUUAUGCGCUCUUUUAUCAUCGUGGGAAUUGAUUAUAGCUCUAAAUAAAUAUUGAAGUUUUUUUUAAAGAAUCCGUAUAACUUUAUUUGUACGCCCGUAUACUACGUUUAUUGAAUCAAAUCCGUAUAAAAUAAGGACAUUCCGUAUAGGUUGACAUGUAUGAGUCUUCAUCAAAUGUGCAUAUAGGUUUCACUAAUUUGGACAUAAUACCAGCUUUCUUAAGAUCAGGGAUGCUAAUUAAUUGUGAUAUGCAAAAACGACAAACAGUUUUGACAACAUUGUGUGUAAGUAGAAGCUCCAAGGUCUUUGCAAACCUACCUACUGCUUCAAAGGGUCUCCUUCACCCACUGCGAAGGACCUAGGGGUCAUGUUUGAUGACAAACUCUCCUCCUCAGCGUACAUCACUGCAGUGACCCAGACGUGUAGAUUCCUCCUCUCCAACAUCUGAAAAAUCCACCCUUUUCUUACCACUUACUCUACUCAGCUCCUGGUCCAAGUGCUGAUCCUCUUCCAGGCCAUUAUUAAAGAAAUGUUCUGUUUCCGGUCCACCGGCCGGCGGCACGUGAUCAGGGCACACAACUGACUGAAGGAUGGCACCUGAUCAUCACCAUCAUUUGAACCCCGGCUUCACUCCAAUUCAUCGCCAGUUCAUUGUUUCCACCAUUACGGAAACCAACUUGCUGCCUUCAAGUCAGUCCAGCUGUCAUUCAGCCCACUGCCACUUUCAUAUACACGUUGUCUCAGCGACAGCUAGCCCAUUGUCUCUGUGGCUCAUUGGCUUAAUAUUGUGCCUUCACCCCAGCAACUGUGGUUCACUUCUCCCUUCACUGUACAUUAAAAUUUAUUUUUGAACUGUCUCCAGACUCUGCAUUUGGGUCCACCAUUGUACAAGGCAUGACAGUUCAUUGUAGAAAAACAAAUGUAGCAAAUUGCAUUUUAAACUGUGUUAAUGUAAAUCAAUGUGUUAA